GUCCAGUAGCCCUCGAUGCAGCCCUGGCAGAAAGUGUGAUCGCAAGGCAGGGAAACUGGCUGCUUGAAAAGAUCCAAGCAUAUGGAGCAGCUGGACCCUGGACGUUCCUCUCCUGCAGACUGCGACCACUCUCUCUGGCCUCCAGUCUUCCUGUUGACUACUGGGAAAAUGAAGUGGGAGGCGCAGAAGCAGGCUCAGUCUCAGGAACAGAUAGCAAAGGGGAUCUCAUUUGCCCCCCUCUUCCCCUCUCAGACGUCACAUAGUCAGGAAACUGAGGCGGGCCAGAGAUAUUCUUUUCUUGGCCUGUUUGAUCCCUGAAGUCUGUGCAGAAAUUCCCGUUUCUCUGAACUCUAUAACCCACAAAAAAGUAAAUCCACUCACUGUGC